GUCUGUCCAUUGUUGUGACCUAGAUGAAGAUCAGAUAACAUUUUAGGACCAAUUUAUGCAGAAAUCCAGGUAUUUCCAAAGAGUUCACAUACUUUUCCUUGCCACUGUAUGUUUAUAUCUUUACAAACCUAGUCCCGUGCCUUACAGAAAAACAAAGGACAGGAGGAAGACAAAGGGUUGUUGAGUUCACAGUAUUCCCCCAACCCACACCCUCUGAAUAGUAUUCAUUCUGCCCAGAAUGAUCCCUUAAUACUAACAGAACUAACAUAGGGACUAGGGACAGUUGAGUUAAGACACAUAUGAAGACAGAUUUUAAUUAUUAUUAUUUGUAUUUUGGAUUUAACCUUUAUUUAACUGAUACACAGGGGAUUAUUUUAGUUAAGGCACAGGGGACUCUCAGUUAAGACACAAAGGAAGACUGAUACACACAGGACUCUUAGUUAAAGGACAGGUUCACUUUUUGAUGUAAAUGGGAUGUUAUAGAAAUGUCCAGACACUUUUUUUUUGCUAUUUCUCUUACUUUUGAGGAACUUACCCCACCAGCGAUAGAACUUUAUCCGCAAUGCUAUAGCCUAGCGAUACUUUACUAUGUGCAUGCACGUAUACAGUAACGUAUCGAUCGAGUCCAACAAAAUGGAAUAUAACGUUAAAGCUCGUAAUGUAACAAUUUUCUGUGUACAACAUCUAAAGACUUGCAUCACUAUACUGAGAGAGUUGCCAUUUCUAAGAGAACAUAUUUGGGUGAUUUUGGAGCCUUUGUUCAUGUUUUAUGACUGCCCCGAUACAGUCACGCCCUGAUCUGUUUCACCUGUUCCAGUUAUUGUCUCCACCCCCUCCAAGGUGUCGCUUAUUUUCCCCAGUGUAUUUAUCCCUGUGUUUCCUGUCUUUCUGUGCCAGUUCGUCUUGUAUGUUUCCCAAGUCAACCAGCGGUUUUCCCAUUCUCCUGCUUUUGCAGUUCUCCCGGUUUUGACCCUUGCCUGUUUCUGGACUUUGCACCCGCCUGCCUGACCAUUCUGCCUGCCUUGACCACGAGCCUGUCUGCCACUCUGUACCUUCUGGACUCUGAUCUGGUUUUGACCUUUUGUCUGUCCACGACCAUUCUCUUGCCUACUACUUUUUGGAUUAAUAAACAUUGUAAGACUCCAACCAUCUGCCUCCUGUGUCUGCAUCUGGGUCUCGCCUUGUGCCUUGAUAGAUACUGCAAAACGAGUCUUAGGACCUCUAUCAAUGUUGGGGACCUGAGCUCUGGGACCAUGCUUCAGGACUAUCUGGCCUGAAGACUCCUUGCUGUCCCCAGUCCACUUGGUCAUGCUGCUGUUCCAGUUUCAACUGUUCUGCCUGCGGUUAUGGAACCCUGACCUGUUCACUGGAUGUGCUACCUUGUCCUUGACCUGUUGUUUUCGACUCUCUCCCUCUACCGCACCUGCUGUCUGUAACUCUGAAUGCUCGGCUAUGAAAAGCCAA
rnacentral:lncRNA from 1 species